CUGACUGGCAAGGUACGUGGCUUUUUUGUUACACAGUGUGUUUUUAUCUCACAAACUGCUGCUGUACUGAAAAACACUUUGAUGUGUUUCAUCAUGCCCACUGAUGUCUUACAGACCUUUGGUGGCUGAGGAUCCUGGCCUGCUCAGUGCUGCACCAAAGCAUGAGUGGCUAUACUAGACUGAGGUAAAACAUGGGAAGUCACAAGGUCUCCUUGUACUGACCAGUGGAAAGACUAGUAGGCAAACAAAACAACGAGUUAUUCACACUAGUGCCUGGUAACUGAGCAACAAUGUAAUUUACUGGAGACAUCUACCUUGCACAAGAGAACAGCAUCUGGUAAAGUGCAUGCAACAGGUAUUAUGGCUUUUUGUCACUCUCAUAAAUGGGAAAAGUCUAAAUGUUUGUUAUUAAUGUUAUUAAGCAAUUGUGGAACUCAGAAAUUGAAAGGAAGCCAGACUCCACAACCCCCCUGGGCAGCCUGUUUCAGUGCUCUGUCACCCUCACCUUGAAGAAGUUUCUUCUCAAAUUUAAGUGGAACCUCUUGUGUUCCAGUUUAUACACAUUGUCCCUUGUCUUAUCAUUGGUUAUCACCAAGAAGAGCCUGGCAAAUCUUUUCAUAUGGACUUACACACCAGUACAAACAUGUAAAAUUACAAUGUAACUCCUCAGAAAAGAUUGGUUGUGGGUUUCUUUACUGAGAAUAUUUCAUUUCUUCCUUAGGCUGCUAACAUUUGUUAUGCACAAUAACUAAGGGUUUUUUCUAAGAUCAAGGUUAAGGAACUUUGUCAGUGAUAAAAAUAGUUUUCUAACUGCUACACUGAAUGGUGCUAAUUGCACACUACUUAGUGCCAGGUUCUUGAAAUUUGAAUUAUGAAUAGUUCUGCUGUCAGAGAGAUUCCACAAUCUCAUAUUUCACUCUUGUUUGUAUGAUAAAACACUAAUUCUGCUUAAGAGGUCUUGUAAAAGGAGCCACAAUGCCUUGAUUUUGUUAACAUUACAUCUGAAUAAUAGCUGGAUAGAC